CCUGCUGUCGGGCCUUUACGUCACUUUACUUCCUGUUCCAAGAUGGUCGGACGGGAGCGGGUGGUUCAGCUGCUUCGACAGCUCGAGCGAGCGGCGUGCCGAUGUCCCGCCCACUCCAACACCUUUCACCGAGGUGUCGGCGCCGCGACCUGCAUCGUCCGGAAGACCGACUACGCCUUCGAGAUGGCGAGUUCCAACAUCAGAUAUGGAGAAGGAGUCAGCAGAGAGAUCGGCAUGGACCUGCAGAACCUCGGGGCUCGGAACGUCUGUCUGAUGACGGACAAGAACUUGUCCCGCCUCCCGCCUGUGCAGGCCGUCCUGGAGUCUCUGGCCACGCACGCAGUCAAGUUCAAAGUCUACGACAGCGUCCGGGUGGAGCCCACCGACACCAGCUUCAAGGACGCCAUCUCCUUUGCCAAGUGCGACUCAUUUGACGCGUUCGUGGCAGUGGGCGGGGGCUCUGUGAUUGACACCUGCAAAGCAGCCAAUCUGUACAUGUGUCACCCUGACGCCGAGUUCCUGGACUUCGUCAAUGCGCCGAUCGGUAAAGGGAAGCCGGUCACCGGCGCCCUGAAGCCACUCAUCGCAGUUCCUACGACAGCCGGCACCGGCAGCGAGACCACCGGCGUCGCCAUCUUCGACUACGAGCCUCUGAAAGCCAAAACCGGCAUCGCCAGCAGAGCCAUCCGCCCCACCCUGGGCAUCGUGGACCCGACGCACACGCUCAGCAUGCCUGAGAAAGUCGCCGCCAACAGCGGCUUCGACGUGCUCUGUCACGCCCUGGAGUCGUACACCGCCCUCCCGUACAACCAGAGGAGUCCCUGCCCCCCCAACCCCAUCACCCGCCCCGCCUACCAGGGAAGCAACCCCAUCAGCGACGUCUGGUCCCGCCACGCGCUUCACGUGGUCGCCAAGUACAUGAAGCGAUCGGUGCGGGACCCCGGGGACCUGGAGGCCCGGUCCAGCAUGCACCUGGCCAGCGUGUUUGCUGGCAUCGGCUUUGGUAACGCAGGAGUUCACCUGUGUCUGACUGCCAUUAGGUAUCGGAAAGAAAUCCUUCCACCUGUGGUCAGACCCCACGCUGGUGCAGUAGAUCCUGGGUUCCUCCUGAUGCACGACAAUGGCCUCAUGUGGCAACAGUAUGCAGGCAGUACCUGGAGGAUGAAGGAAGUGAUACCAUGGCCCUCACGAUCUCGAUAGAACACCUCUGGGACGAUACGUUUGGGUCCAUCAGACGCCGUCAGGUUUCUCCUCAGACUUUUGAGGAGCUCAAUGAUAAAACAGAUCUGGGAGGAGAUCCCACAAGACACCAUCCGUCUCAUUAGGAGCAUACAUAGUGGGUCGUGGGUUGUGGGACGUGGGUCGUCGUGGCGCAGGGGUUAGAGAAGGUGUGCUGGGAAGCACAAGGUUGCUGGUUUGAUUCCAGGCUGCCCCAUGUUCCAUGUCUAAGUGUCCCUGAGCAAGACACCCAACCCCUAAUUGCUCCCCGGGCAAAAUGUGAUAAAGCCAUUUAAAGUGUGAUGUAAGUCGCUUUGGAUGAAAGCGUCUGCUAAAUGACCUGUGAUGUAACAUAGAAGCUUGUGAUGUAACAUAGAAGCUUGUGAUGUAACAUAGAAGCCACUCAAGAUAUCAAGAAGCAUUUGACAUACAGAAAUGAAGUCUGCCACAUCAUCCUUUCAUUCCCAAGACAGUAAACCGUCCAAAUCGCUGUAGAUAUCGAACAUCCUUUUUACAUUGAGCUCUGAUGUGUUUUCAAAGUGUAAGUAAUGUGUGUGUGUGUGUGUGUGUGUGUGUGUAUAUUGGGUUGCAUACCUGUAUGUGAAUAUUUAACACCCAUAGGUUUCCCGUUGCAUGACUUGUGACCUUUGACCCCUGCAGUCACGGGAUGUCGUAUCCAAUCGCUGGCAACGUAAAGACUCACUCAGCGAAGGGUUACAGCGUGGAGCACCCUCUAGUGCCUCAUGGUCUCUCCGUGGUCCUCACGGCUCCGGCCGUCUUCAACUUCACAGCUCCAAUGUGUCCAGAGCGCCACCUUGAGGCUGCAGAGAUUCUGGGUGCAGACAUCCGGCAGGUGAAGCGGGAGGAUGCGGGCGCCAUCCUGGCCGACACGCUGCGUCACUUCAUGUAUGACCUGCAGGUGGAGGACGGACUGGGAGCUGUGGGAUACAGCAGAGAGGACGUCCCGGCACUGGUGAAGGGAACUAUCCCUCAGGAGCGAGUGACCAAACUGUCCCCCAGAGCUCACACCGAGGACGAUCUCAGCCAGCUGUUUGAGGCCUCCAUGAAGCUCUACUGAUCUCAGGUCUGCUCCGAGCUGCAGUUCCUCUGACGUCCACUCGGGGUCACUUUAUGGUCAACGGGGAAUUCAUUCAUAUUUACACAUCAACGUGAAUAAAAAACAUACCUCACAGUUGGCUGGUUUACUUCUA